UUAAGUUCAGCGGGUAUCCCUACUUGAUCCGAGGUCAAAAGUGUUAAAUGUGCUUACUGGACGCUGAUGUUAUUAAUUAGAAUCGCAAAUUGUGCUGCGCUUCAAACCAAUACAUUGGCUGCCAAUGAAUUUAAGGCGAGUCCAAACGCAGAGGAAAGGACAAACACCCAACACAAGCAAAGCUUGAGAGUACAAAUGAC
rnacentral:misc_RNA from 1 species